rnacentral:rRNA from 1 species
UACGAAGGGGGCUAGCGUUGUUCGGAUUUACUGGGCGUAAAGCGCACGUAGGCGGAUCGUUAAGUCGGGGGUGAAAUCCUGGGGCUCAACCCCAGAACUGCCUUUGAUACUGGGGAUCUCGAGUCCGGGAGAGGUGAGUGGAACUCCGAGUGUAGAGGUGAAAUUCGUAGAUAUUCGGAAGAACACCAGUGGCGAAGGCGGCUCACUGGCCCGGUACUGACGCUGAGGUGCGAAAGCGUGGGGAGCAAACAGG